GUGCCUUAGUAGCGGCGAGUGAAGCGGCAAAAGCUCAAAUUUGAAAUCUGGCUCUUUCAGAGUCCGAGUUGUAAUUUGAAGAAGGUAUCUUUGGGUCUGGCUCUUGUCUAUGUUUCUUGGAACAGAACGUCACAGAGGGUGAGAAUCCCGUGCGAUGAGAUGAUCCAGGCCUAUGUAAAGUUCCUUCGAAGAGUCGAGUUGUUUGGGAAUGCAGCUCUAAGUGGGUGGUAAAUUCCAUCUAAAGCUAAAUAUUGGCGAGAGACCGAUAGCGAACAAGUACAGUGAUGGAAAGAUGAAAAGAACUUUGAAAAGAGAGUGAAAAAGUACGUGAAAUUGUUGAAAGGGAAGGGCUUGAGAUCAGACUUGGUAUUUUGUAUGUUACUUCUUCGGGGGUGGCCUCUACAGUUUAUCGGGCCAGCAUCAGUUUGGGCGGUAGGAGAAUUGCGUUGGAAUGUGGCACGGCUUCGGUUGUGUGUUAUAGCCUUCGUCGAUACUGCCAGCCUAGACUGAGGACUGCGGUUUAUACCUAGGAUGUUGGCAUAAUGAUCUUAAGUCGCCCGUCUUGAAACACGGGACCA
rnacentral:rRNA from 1 species